UACGUAGGCAGCAAGCGUUGUUCGGAAUUACUGGGCGUAAAGAGUGUGUAGGCGGUGCUCCAAGUCUGGUGUGAAAUCUCCCGGCUUAACUGGGAGGGUGCAUUAGAAACUGGAAUGUUAGAGGAUGGGAGAGGUAAGCGGAAUUCCUGGUGUAGCGGUGAAAUGCGUAGAUAUCAGGAGGAACACCUGUGGUGUAGACAGCUUACUGGAUCAUUUCUGACGCUGAGACACGAAAGCGUGGGUAGCAAACAGG
rnacentral:rRNA from 1 species